GUCGAAGGUCUGCAGACAUAUAAAUUUUAUUGGGUUAAAUUCAUACAAAAUUUGGAUCUAAUUCAUGUUCAUUUGGGUUAAAUAAUUAAUUUGGGCUUUGCUAAUAAUUAAGUCGAUUUUAUUGAAUUAAUGGCCAAGGUCCAUUAUGCCUUGAAGCCCAAAUCCAUAUCACGUGUCAGGGUGACUUGGUGUCUCUGAUAAAUUCAUGACCAAAAAGAUAUCACGUGUUCAAAUGAUGUGGAAAUCUCAAUCAAAUUCACGAACCAGUCAAAAACUGUCAAGUGUCAAAUGACAUGUUUUGGCCAAUUACAAGUAACCUGGCCUACUCCCAACAACUAUAAAUAAUGAAAUUACAUAACAUUAAAAGGACAUUCUGAAAACAUUUUUACAAGCAUUGGAGCAACAUGGGCAAAUUUGUUGCGAACACGAUCGUUUGCAUCUCUUCGUCUUUCCUUUCUUCUGAGUUGAGCAGAACCUCCACCCCGAUAUGCCUGAGUAGAUCGGUUUCUGUUGGUACUCUUCCUUUAAAUCCAAGUACAUAUGAAGUGGAAAAUUGAAGUCUUGCAACCACGUCUUGUUUGUUGUUCUUGUUUCUGCGUCAGCAUUUGUCCUUCCUAUUAUUUUUUGUGUUGUACUUUGAAGCAAAAAAAAAUGGACAUGCUACAUGUUUCUGUUGACAUCUCGCCUAUCCAUUUUUUGUUUCAAAGUAUAAUCAAAGAAGAAGAGGAAACACAAAUGUUGAUGGAGAAACAACAGUAGCAAACUGGACGUGGUUGCAAAGAGAUUGAGGUAUAUUAAUGCAGAUGUUAUUCCCCUUUAAUGCUUGAUACGCAUUUAAUGCUUCCGACGGCCUCAACAUAAGGUGAGUUGUUUUCUACUAGUGAUACAAGAAUAAUCACGAAUAUGGUGCGCGUUGGUCCCGAGACUUGGUGUGUGCAAUUGAAGUGUAGAAGAGGCCCAAAACACACCAAAAUCAGCCUAUAACUUACACUUGAUGGGCAGCCCACUCUUUGAAGGCCCUUUUGGUCAUUUUAACUUAUAUCUUGUAAUAGCUAUAUAAAGAACAAUGUAGGGUUUUAUUUACUUAGUUUAUGAAUGGAGUUGUAAGUCUUACAAGACAAAGAAACACAAAUCCUCUUUCCUUGAGGCACCCAAAACCGAAAUUAGGGCUUAGACAAGUGUAGAAUCACUUGUGUUUGCAUUUGUUUGGAAACAUUGAUGCUUGGGAGGUGGAUUCCGAUCUUGUGUCUUUGUAAGAGAUAGGUUUAUUGUUGUGUGUAGUGUUAAGGGUCCAAGAGUUACCAUUCUUGGGUUCUUAACAUUAUACCUUCAUGUGGUCUAUCUAUCUAUCUUUUUUCUUUUAUAAUCUUGUAUCCGUUUUGUAUCUUGUAUUGUGAAGCCGUUUUUUUUUUGUUGUUGUUGUUCGCAUUGUUGUUUCAUCUUGUGUUGUUAACUUAGUUUGUUGUUGGCUGCAAAAGGUGUCAAAUACCUAGUUAUAUUGUCCUUGUAUUUUAUUCUUGAAUCCGAGAGUGGUCUUUAAAAGGGUCCUCGAUUCUUUGAAUUAGUGGACUGUUUUUUGGCAGUGUGUUUGGACUGUUUUGAGCCAAUUCCGUGUGUUCCUUGGUUUUCUUGUAUCUUUUGGUAUCAAAGCAUGGCUUGAUCUUGUUCCUACAAGAUCAAUCUUGGGCUUGCUUGUUAGAAAAUAAUAAAAAAAAUUGUUGAAAAGCUGAAAACUUCAGAAAAAUUGCAAUCUGUCCAUUGUUGUUAUCUUGGCCGAAAUUGUGUUCUUGGCCAAGAUUUGUUCUUGAGUCUAGGUCUAGGAGUAUUUUACUUGUAUUGUGUGUUUGUAGUGUUAUUUUUGUUCCUCACUAACACUUUGAGUCGAUCCAAACUUGAGCUUGAAUUGUUAAUAUUGUUGUUGUGAACAAAGUGUGGCCGAUUGGAUGUUGUUGUUGUUCUAGCCUUGACCGAGUUGAAGGCCUUGUGUUGUGUUGUUGUUGUAGAUCUUAAAAUAUUGUUGUUGUGUUCUUUUUGUUCAUCACAACCUUCACCUUUUGUAAAAUCGAAAACACAACACUUAGGGGACUUAGCCGAUUGUUGUUUCUAUCCUUGUGGUCUUGGCCGUGAGAUUGUUGACCUUGUUGUGGUGGACUUGUUGUUCUUGGGAGAUUGUUGUUGGUUGUUCUUAUUGUGGUUGUUGUGUUCUUUAAAUUCUUCACCAUAUUCAUCACCUUGUUACUAUUAAAGUGAACUUAGAUCUUAAAAAGGUGAAAGACAAGGUGUAGUAUUUGUUGAAUCUUGAAAGACCCCCAACCACCAAAAAGACUUCACAUCACAUCUCAACCUUUUUUCAUAAAACAAGGGUCCAUGUUUUAAGGAGAAGUACAAGUCUAGUCAAAGACUUUUAAGUCUUAAAAUUUGAAUUGAAAAAGGGGCUCCAAAGACUAGUUUGUAUUUCCCUCCAUUGAACAAUUUCCACCAAAGUCCAAAUUGUGAAAUUAAAAUUUGUCAAGAACCGAACCACUAGUGGACUGCCACGUGGACCGCCACAUCACCAUAUACACUGUUCACGCAAUAAUUUUGGCUCAAAUUUUGAUCUUUUAGUUUCAUUGUGUUGUUCCAUUAGUUUCAUUUGUUGAUUCCAUUACUAACUUACAAGCUAGUACUAGAUUGUAAUUAAGUUAGUUUUGAAACCGUCCUUCGUAUAUACAUUCCUUUGUGUGUCUUAUUCUUUUGAGUCAUUGUAAUACUUGGUCCACCGCUCAAUGCCUCACGGAGUACAGGCAAGGUUACGACACUUGUGAGACAAAAGUAAAAAAAAAAUCCGAGAGACAAAACAAUAGAGAGGGAGUAUGAGGACCAUUCUUGUACAUCUAACUUAUUUGUUGUUUUGUAGGUAACUUAUUGGGCAUAAUGGAAGCCAUAUUGGCCCUCCUUGAUGCUUUGUCCCAAGACCUUGCUAGGAAAAA